AGCGAACGCUGGCGGCAGGCCUAACACAUGCAAGUCGAACGAACCUUUCGGGGUUAGUGGCGGACGGGUGAGUAACACGUGGGAACGUGCCUUUAGGUUCGGAAUAACUCAGGGAAACUUGUGCUAAUACCGAAUGUGCCCUUCGGGGGAAAGAUUAAUCGCCUUUAGAGCGGCCCGCGUCUGAUUAGCUAGUUGGUUGAGGUAAUGGCUCACCAAGGCUACGAUCAGUAGCUGGUCUGAGAGGAUGAUCAGCCACAUUGGGACUGAGACACGGCCCAAACUCCUACGGGAGGCAGCAGUGGGGAAUCUUGCGCAAUGGGCGAAAGCCUGACGCAGCCAUGCCGCGUGAAUGAUGAAGGUCUUAGGAUUGUAAAAUUCUUUAACCGGGGACGAUAAUGACGGUACCCGGAGAAGAAGCCCCGGCUAACUUCGUG
rnacentral:rRNA from 1 species